rnacentral:rRNA from 1 species
GACGAACGCUGGCGGCGUGCUUAACACAUGCAAGUCGAACGGAAAGGCCUCUUUCGGGGGGUACUCGAGUGGCGAACGGGUGAGUAACACGUGAGUAACCUGCCCUUGACUUUGGGAUAACUUCAGGAAACUGGGGCUAAUACCGGAUAGGAGCUCCUGCUGCAUGGUGGGGGUUGGAAAGUUUCGGCGGUUGGGGAUGGACUCGCGGCUUAUCAGCUUGUUGGUGGGGUAGUGGCUUACCAAGGCUUUGACGGGUAGCCGGCCUGAGAGGGUGACCGGCCACAUUGGGACUGAGAGACGGCCCAGACUCCUACGGGAGGCAGCAGUGGGGAAUAUUGCACAAUGGGUGGAAGCCUGAUGCAGCAACGCCGGGGGCGGGAUGACGGCCUUCGGGUUGGAAACCGCUUUCGCUCAUGACGAAGCUUUGUGUGACGGUAGUGGGUAAAGAAGCACCGGCUAACUACGUG